UACGAAGGGGGCUAGCGUUGCUCGGAAUUACUGGGCGUAAAGGGCGCGUAGGCGGACAGUUUAGUCAGAGGUGAAAGCCCAGGGCUCAACCUUGGAAUUGCCUUUGAUACUGGCUGUCUUGAGUUCGGGAGAGGUGAGUGGAAUGCCGAGUGUAGAGGUGAAAUUCGUAGAUAUUCGGCGGAACACCAGUGGCGAAGGCGACUCACCGGCCCGAUACUGACGCUGAGGCGCGAAAGCGUGGGGAGCAAACAGG
rnacentral:rRNA from 1 species